CAUUUAGUUUCUGUUAGUUUUAGCUUUUUUAACAUGGCAAGACCUUCAAAAAUAUAACAGUGUCGGAAAAACUCAAAGCAUCAUUUUAUUUGGCUUUUUGCCUCAUCAGAGAGGACACUUCUGUUGAAAGUAUGGCUGCUAUUAUGACACAGAGGCAUAAACACAUUUUUGUCAAUUUGUGUAUGGGCUCACAUACUUUAUGCCACCUCAGCAGUGUCAGUACUUGGGGGGUCAGUCCAGACUUUUCUGCCCCCUGUCGUGUGCCUCACUCCAGGUAUGUUAAUGUAGCAACAAAUAGAUCCAAGCUGAACAGAUGAGUCUGAUGGUGUCAUGGAAGAGACCAAGGUAACAGGCUACUGGUUUACGUUUGCCCCAUACUGUAAGAGUUCAUUGCACCUCUGUAUAGAAAACCUGCAUGUGCAACAUUAUUAUACUGUGGAACGGCAGGAAGAUAAAUAUGCCAAGUUUAAUUGUAUUUGAUUCACCACUCCAUACACAGUUUACAGAAUACUGUGAACUACUGCUCCUGGCUCAAGGAGACAGUCUGUAUUCACAUGUGUUACUCUGAUGUGUUUUGCAUGACUGACUGAUAACACACUAUCACAGUUUACUGGUCUGAUAAGCUUAGGUGGUCAUUUUUAGGAGGUCAUGGAUUUUCAUCAACUAAACACAACCUGGUCAGAGUCAUAUUCAGAAGACUUGAUAAAACUGUUCACACAUCACUCUCUGCAAAUCUGGUCUUGGUGAAACAGAAACCAAGAGUGAAGAAGUUGUCAUGGCCUCUUUGUUUCAAAGGGUGACUCCAUCAGAAAAGAGAGCAGGUUUGAUUUUAUACAAGCCUAUCAUCAGAAACCUCACCUGAUUCAAUAUUUCAGAAAACAUUUUCCCAAUUAUAAUUUGAUCUGGAUUACCAGUUUACAGUCUUCCUCAAAAUAUCAAGAGGACGACUUUGGAGAUUGUAUUCCAAUGAGGCGUAAUAGGGAUGAAAAACAGAGUGCGCCUAAGGGUGACAAGUUGCGACUAAGGAAACCUGUCGACCAGGACAGGGGCUUCGCAAGACCUAUCAAAUCUGUCCAAUCACAGACAUGACUCAAAAUGCAGAGUCUCGACUGAUUGGCUUGAUCACUGUGUCUACAUUUCUUAAUUAUAGCCAAUGAAGUGAAAGAUAGUAAAACUGUCAGAGUCAUCAACAUCGACACAUUAGAGUUUUGUUGUUGUUUAAUAACACCAGAUACUUUGCUUACCUUUUAUACAUUUCACUCAGCAAACAUGGAGCUGUUGGCUAUUAAUAACAAACCUGAUGGUUCAACUUCCAGAAGCCAUCUCUUUUUUUUCCAUACCUGUGUGAACAUGGCCAAAAAUAUCUGGACACCUGCCCUCUACAGACAUUUAUCACAGCAGUGUUAGUCUUCCUAAAACCGUUUCCACUUUUAUGUAAAAUUUACAGAUUUUUCUCCCGGCUUGGACACUUUGGCGGUGUCUGUCUGAGCUGAUGUUGUCCCGUUGUUAAUGACAUCCAGUCUCUUCUGCUUUAGUGUCUCCUCGUCUCUCAGUCCCAGCGUGACGCCCUCCUGAUGAUUUCAGGUUUGGGUUUAUUGGAGCUUUACAGCCUCAGACCUGCUGUCACACACAUUAAACACAGACUCCCACAUCGCACACAACACACACACACACUCACACUACAUUUACAUGGGAAUCUGGGAUGUGUGCGCACAACUACAAAACCAAGUGCAGGCUUCAUUGUCAUUCUGCACCAAACACUCUCCUAUCCUUUAAUGACACUAAGAGUAGCAGAAAAUAACAAAGCACACAGGCUGCUGAUGAAGAAUUAACAAUUUAAAGUGUGAUUUUAAAAAAUACAACAAAUGAAUGACAGCUCAGUUGCAACACGAAGACACAACAUGUCAAAUAAAACCGAUGUGAGAAGUGUGAAUAUCAAAGAAUGAGUUUUUUGAAACCAUGAAGAGAAGUAAAACACUUCUCAUCUUGUCAAAUAUAACACCAUAACAUCUUUUUACUGUCAAUCAGAGCGUCUUCAUUAACCACCUUUUUCCUUUACCCAGUCACUUAUUAAUAGAUCAGUGCCAAUUAACACUAACAAGCAUCCUCACUGACAUGCGCUCAGUACAAACUGCUGUGAACACAACCUGCAGAAGAGACUGAGAGCUCGGAUAAAAGUAGAAAAAACUAGCGGAGAUGGGGAUAAAAACUUUGUCCAAGCAUUUACGACGUCUGAAAAUCAUAAAUCAAUCAUGGUUAUCGCAAUCAGAAGCUUAUAAGCACAACCAUGAUUCAACAGGGUAUCUAAGGAGUGAGUAUAAUGCUCUGUUUUAGCUCCUGAUAACUUCUUAGCAGCUUUACAGGAUUUACAGUUCAACAGAUUCUUCUCAUCUCUCAGGCUGCUGUCUUUAUAAACCCUUAUUUCAGCCUCUGUAUGAGAUGCUUCAUCUUCAUCUGCUGUCCCUUUAAGGCCCCCAAGAACCAAGUAUGCUGAAUGUCUGGCAAAUCCUAUAUUGAUCUUGCUGAACCAACCAUUCAGAGCAGCCUGUGGACCCAUUUGGGAUUACGUCAACACACGUUUACCUAGUAAUCCGAAACUUUGUUCAUGUACUGUGUACUACUCAUGACAAAAAAGCAUGAUUCCACCUCUUAAAGUAUUUUUACUCUCUUUGAACCCUUACCAGUCGAUCACCGAGUGCAGCGGAGAUUUGCAGCUCAAGGAAGAACAUUUAUGAUCAUUUCUUCAUGGAAAUGCAAUCAAACCGAGACAGUUAGGCAGAAGAACUAUCGCGUCUGCAGUGAAAAUUAUUAUUAUGAUGGUUAUUACUUCAUAGAGAUGAUCCGCUGCGUUUGGUGCGUUGGCCUCCCCAACAAACAAGCGGCCGCUGGAGGAGAGAGGGUGAGUUGAGUUUGGUGUCUUUGCUAAGGAAGAGCAUUAUUUGUGACGACAGAGUGGCUUUUUGGUUGAGGUUUGCGUGUGGUGGCGUAGACCGCUGUGUAUUGCCAUCAUGCGGUCGUUACUAAAGUUGGUAUGACUAGAGAAGCUAGCGGUUGGUAACAUUAAUCUCUCGAGAGGGUGUCUAACUUGUUGUUAUGGCCAGAAUAUCCCUUUAAGUUGUAUAAGUGGGCAUUGGCUCACAGUUUACACACCUACACCAUCAGGUAACCUGGGAUAUCUCCUGCUCUCCUCUUCGUAGAGAGUACUGGUGGUAUUUUGCUUGCCAGAAUGACUUAAUGGAUGACUGAAAACAUGUCCAAGUGUUGAGCUCAACCUCCACGGCCAGGUACAUCAGCGUUUGCAUAAAAUCAAACCUGAAAGCAGAAGCUGUGAUUGUCUUUGGGUUGAAAAACUCUUUGAACUCCUGCAGCUGCUGCUACUCAUGCGAGACAGUGUUCCUACUCCUCCCCACCAAAACUUUGAAGCAUGUCCAUCUAUUGAAAAAAGUAGUUUAAUGUCAAAAUGAGCAGUAAAAAAAAGACUAUUCCGCUUGGUAAAUAAUGCUGCUUUCCAGUUACCUCGGAGGUCUGAGCUGGGAAUGACGUUACACCUGAGUUGACGGCGUUCCAGUUAACAAGUCAGAAAACAAGAUGGACACCUACAGUUGGCCGUUGUUAGCUGUUGUUUACAAUUGUCAGCUGUUGUUAGUAGUUGUUAGCAAUACCAGUUGUAAAUAACGCGUAACACUGUAUUUUACUCUUACAAACACCAUAGCACCGUGUUCACAGUUAGACGUUGGGCAGUACAACAUAUACCACUUAUUUAAUUUCACAAAAACAAAACAGAAGUGCUAAUAAAAAAUAUAUCAUGAUAGCUUUCACUGUUACUCUUUACUGUUGAUGCACUUUCCAAAUUGGAAAUCCGACUUCAGAGGGGUGUUCCAGAUGAAUUUCUGACUUGAAGCUUGGAAAUUCCGACUUCCGAGUACAACUGGAAUGCAUCAUAAGGCAACAUAAGGUCAAAUUGUGAUGUGUUCAAAGUGUAAUGUGUAAAAUAACUGCUGUAUAACCACUGAUGAUGCAGCUGUUAAGAUUUUCUUGCACACUCUUUCAUUUGCGGUGUAUUUCGCUUGAAUGCGUUUUGAACAUUACCACUUUCUGCAGCAGUUUUACCGUGAAUCUGCUACAUGUGCAUUAACAAACAGGUGCAGGUUUGUGGUGUAAAUGAUGGAGGCAUCAGCGUUUGAGUUAAAUUUUCUGGCUCCCUCUCACAAAACACACUUGGGCUCCCACACAUAUUUUCCUCACAAAUACAUAUCCAUCAGUCACACACACACAUAGCAUGAACACUUUAUAAGUCAACUGCUCUCUCAAACACACACACACACAAGCUGACCACUCUUGUGCCAAAAAGCCAAUUAUCCAGGAUGCUUUUAAGCAGCUCUAGCUGCAUUAGCGUCAGCCGGAGUGUUUAAACAGGACUAAUAGUUGAAAGGUUAAUGACUGAUGCAGCAGUGAGCAGCCUGUAAUCACAGGCUAUUACCUCAGACUGUAAUACCAAGGAACUGGAGCAAGAUUUCUGGUGACUUUUUAUUCAUAUUUCAUGCCGAAAAAAAGGAACACUUUGUACAAAAUUGAGGUUGUAUUUAACACCAUGAGAGACAGUUGUAGUGAUUUGAAAUGAGCCUCAUACGGUCGCACCAAAAUAUAUGUAGCGAUUUGAAAUGAGCCUCACAAGGCCGCACCAAAAUAAUACUUGGCGAUUGGAAUUUAUAAUAAAUGUCUGAAGAUUAAUAAUCUCAAAUUAUGACAUUUAUGCACUCGUUGAAAGGGGCACCACCCACCCUUAAUGGUGGGAAAAUAAAGAAAACAAAAGUUUAAUUCAGAAAUCAAACAUCAAGUCAGUUUUAAUUAAUCAGUCUUAAUUAAUCAGUCUUAAUUAAUCAGUCUUAAUUAAUCAGUCUCAUAUCUUAAGUCGAAAUUCUAAUUUCAGGGACUCCACUUCUGGAAGAACACUAACAGACAGGAACUUAGAAAAAUAAUGAUCUGUUUAUUACAGGAUAAAUGAUGGUACAACAAACAUGCAAUAAAUGAUGAUAAGAUAAUGAGGAUAAAAUAAUAAUAGGUGAAUAAAUAAAGAUUCUGAGUCAGGCUAGGAGCACUAAAGUUAAUGAUAGUGAGUGAAUAUGCGCUAACAUAUUAACCUACACUAACUUUGGUGUCGAGAUAAACUCGGGUGUAGAUUUGGAGGAAUCUAAGAUCACCAGAAAUAGGUGGAUAUCUGAGUUAUGAACGCGUGAGACAGCAUCAGCCCUGUCUGGAGCUCUGGAGGUUUGCAUACUUAAGUGAGACUGGUCCUUGGAGAAGAUGGAGCAGGUUCCGAAGGUCCGGGGCUACUGGCGGUUCGAGCGGUUCAGCUCAGAAGACGACUGAAGUCAGCCGAAGGAUGAGCCAGGAGUUGCAGCACUCGGGCCCGAAGCAAAGCCAGCGCCUGUGGAUCCUGUGGAUGCUCGUUUGGGUACUUCUUUGGUCUCACUCAAAAACUCUGGCACAGAGGAUGACCUGGGCCUGCUGGGUUGCGUUCAGAGGUGACUUUGAAAUCACGCAGAAAACUCAGAAAACCGAGGCUCGAAGAGCAGAGAAAACUUUCAAAAAUGGCUUCGCGAAAUUAAAGAAAAAUCAAUCAAAGGCUUAAUCUUGAAUUGCUAUGCGCACAAAAAGUUGAAGUUUCAAACUUGAGCUAAGACGAUGUUAAAGAAAAAUCAACGUGAAUCAACACGUGGCGUAAAACUUAGAAGACUAAGAAAAAGUUCUAAGAGAAAACAAAGAAACGCACCACAGAAGGGUGUGGACAGAAGAGAAGGGGCAUAAGAGCCGGGGACAAGAGAGUCAGCAGAAGAGCAGAAGCAUAAGAGAAAAAAAAACAUAAGAGGAAAGAGAGGAAUAAGAGAGAAUAAGCAAGAGUGAGCAACCCGACUUCACUGGUUUUAUCUUCUCACACGGGGAGUGGCUCCGGCGUGUGUGUGAGGAGACAGAGGAGGGGUCGUGUGGUCUUUGAUUAUUUGAUCUAACUUAUUCUUUUGGCUGGUAAAAGAGUCAGAUCUGAUACUCACUCACUAUGAUUAAUAUCAUUGAAUGUUUGGUUUCAUGAUAAAUAAUUUGAUACUAAACACAUAUGAAUGAAGUGUAGGAUCACAUCAAACAUUCUCAUUAUGUUUUAAGUAUCACAUUGAACAUGCUAAAUUACUCUGAAAUGAAACAGAUAGUAACACAUGGAAACUGUGAACAACAAAAGAGUAAAUUCAUGUGAAUGAACGUCAUCAUGAUUAAUAAUGGAUUCUAAAUACUCACAUUCAGAUUAUUCAAUGACAUUAUAACCACCUAAUGGUUAAAAAUACUAAAUAAACAUCUACAAUAUAAACCAAACAUUUCUAAACUGUUUCUGUUACCUAGAGUUAAGUUAUGAUUCAUAGUCGAUAAAUUUAACUCUUAAAAGUUCAUGAAACAGUCUGAAAAGCUGUUGGUCUAAAGAACUAAAGAAUAAGGAUUUAUUCUGUCAGAUAAGAUAACUUGGCUUCUGAAGCACAUAGAAAAACGGGAAACAUCUCAUUUUAACACAAAUUUCAUGAUUAGACAGAUUAGUACAUUGCUGAAUGCAUAAGAUGUCAUGAUCAGUCAUUUGUAUUCUUUCACCAAAGGAAUGCAGUCUUUAUCAGUGUAUGGUCGAGCAGGGUUUUACGACCGAGGUCUGGAGGUCAGUGUCCCCCCUUAUCCUGGGGUCCGUAUGUUCACACACUUUAAGACACUAAAUCUCAAAUGGGAGAUCUGGGUUGAGACGUUAAUGUUUAUUUAGAUGGUCAGCAAAUGGAGUCAGUUUGAAAGGUAAUAAAACUCUGUCUCUGUUCUCCGAAUUGACCAAUCGUGAAGAGUCAGAGGUUUAGUCAACCUCCUGUUGGGUCACUUAUUUAACCUGAAAGGGCAAACACGUCUGGAAAGAUUUAUAUCCUGUUUCCUGGGACCAGAUAAGGAAGCUUUCCUGUGAGGAAUGUGUGGGUUUCACAUCCAGGGUUGUCUUGAUUGCUACAGUCCCCCCUUCGUCACGGUGGUCCUGUCCAUGGAGCAUCGGGACGACGAGUAGACAACCAUGAAGCAGCAGCAGCAGCAGCAGGUGUAUGCAAAUAGGACUGAUGCGUCUCAUUAUCACUAUGUGAAUCACUAGUAUCUGCUUUAAGAUAACAUCAAGCAUGCAUUAAGCUAUCAAAUAAAAUCGUCUAGGUGUUAGACUUUUCUCAGUUAACUAUUGGUAGACUAAUGUGAAAGAAAAUCUCCUAAUUUUCAGUAUUAAUGAGAUUUAGAAAAGCACUCUUUAGUCUGAAUGCUAACUGGAUCUAAAGCUAUAGCUGUUUUUCAUGCUUGCUGGAGAAGUCUGAAAGUUCAAUUUCAGUUUCAAAAAUGGUUAAGACUUAGGUGGAAAAGAAAUGUCUGCUAUAGACAUAUCAACCAUCUGUGUAUGAGCAUAGUCAACCUGAAUCACAAACAUCAAAGGUUUACUGCACAGAGUUUCUCUUAAACUUUGUCUGUUAAACUUGGGGAUGAUGCUCUUAUCGGUUUGACUAAUUAUCUGCUGUUGAGUCUGAAAUUUGUCAAUCUGAGUCUUAGUGACAGAAAUUUCAGCUUUUAAUCUGUUCAUGGGAUAUUUGACAGCUGACAAGCUGACUAUAUUGACAGAGGAGAGACAAAUGCUAACAAAGAAAGCAGCAACUGGUAUUGCAGUCAUCAAUGUAUCACCACAGCAUUUGGAUAUCUUAUUGGAGUCAUUUAGCUUUGGCUGAGUGACUUCUGCUUUCGCAGGACUCACACCUUCAUGACUCCGCAGUGUUAAUCUCAGUGGUUAGCUGAGUGGUCAUGUUUAUUCACCUUCAAAGUGGAUGAAACCGAUUGAGGUGGAUAAUAAGAUCGUCGUUUCUGAGAGUGUGAUUUACUCUGAUUCUGCCAGUCAUUCACCCCACUUUGGCGGUGUUGAUGGUUUUUCCUUUGUCUGGGAUAAAACCCACCGUGACGGGAGUCUGAAUAACAACAGUUGGUCUCAAAGUUUACCUGGCGUUGGUCUGUGUCAGAACUGGGCCUUGGUGUGUAACUUUGACCUUUGUGAGUGUGUUGAGGUCGAAAAGGUUUUGGAGGCCUGGUUAACCACUCAUUUGGAGGCUUAUCGGAGCCUGAAAAUACACAGUCUGAAGCUUCGUUCAGCUCCAUGGGCAGUGAUUUUGUCUCCAUAGCCAAGAGAGUAACGGGCUCUGCUUUCUUAGCCAAAGUUUGUCGUUGUUUGGCAAAACCUUUUACAGCAAGUUCACGAAGCUGUCGGCUAGUCAAAGUGUUUGGACAAGCUAAGACGCCAAGGUAAUGACUGAUGGUAGGGUGGAGGUUCUGGACGAACAGCGUUUUGAAGUUCAAGUCCUCCUCCAUUUCUGGUUCAUUUCGGAAACCAAAGUAAGCUUCGCGUAAGCGGUUGUAAUACUGUUGGGGAGGUUCUGAUCUCCCUUGUUUAAUAGACAGAGCAGCAGAAAGGCCUGUCUGGGUCAAAUGAUCAGAAAACUCUUCGAUUAAUGCUUGGCAGAGCAAGUCAUAAUUAUUUCUGACAUGAUAAGGCUGUCGUUCAAGGAAACUGUUAACCUCUCGACUUGACGUUGCCUUAAUAAGGUAGAUUUUGUCAUCAGUGGUUGCACCUGGAAAUUUCCGCAGGUAAAAGUCAAUGUCUUUCAAGUAGGUGCAGGUGUCAGUAGCACCUUGGUGCUCAGGUUCAAAGCGUGCUAUGUUGCGAGCAAUUUUGUCAAGAUCCCUGUCUGAGGGAAAUGGUAAGAAGCCAUCAUGAGGAGGAGAGUAGGACUCUUGGUUUAAGGAUGACCUCUCAGGGUCAAGCAGGGUCCUGUCAUGAUGCUGAGAGAGAUACGUAAGAGUUGGUUUGGAAGGAAGUGAUGGCGCUCUCUCAGGAGGCUGAUCACCUAUCAUUUCUUCAAGAAACGUUUGCUCCAUGCGUUCUCUUUGGGCUCGACCUGACUGGAGGGAGCAUUGUAACUCUCUUUGGGCAUCUUCAAGUUCUUUGUCUGUCUUUUCUUGCCGUUCUUGACAAAGAAUUAACUGUCUUUGAGCUAUCUGGAGCUGGUGCUGUAAGGUAGAAGUUUGCUUCUCCUUAACUUCAAGAGCUUCAGCACGCACUUUGACCAGUGCUUUCAAAGCUUUUACAUCUUCUGUUGCUUGCUCUAGUAGGGAUUCUGACUGUAUCAGAUCCUCUGUGGUCUUAGCAAGCUGCUUAUUCGUGUCAUCAAGUUCUUUCUCCUUUUUGUAAAGGGUUUCAUUAAGUCUUUCAAUCUUGUCUUUGAGUUCAAGAUUUUCUUCAUGACUUAUCAGUGAGGGAAGCUUUGACGCUUCACAUCUGGCACGGUGUUUUUCUAAAACACUUAGAGACUUCUUAGUCUCUUCUAGCGUCUUUUUCAGAGCGCUGUUUUCUUCUUUUUGCGUCUUGAUCUUUGCUAAAGCGCAUUCCAGCAAGUAGUCUUUAUACUCAAGCUGAGAAGACAUCAUGACAGACAUGCGUCUAGUGAGCUCUUUGUCACGAAGUGUCGUGGUUAAGGCUGUUUCCAGUAGGUCAGCCAUUUCAUCCUCCGGAUUGGAGGGUUUGGCCUUUUGAAUCUUAGUCAUGUACUGAGGUAUCAGCUGACUAGUUAAGUUUGCCAACACUGUGGGUAUGUCCCUCAGGGGGUCUCCCUGGCUGGACUCUUUUGUGUUAGGCAUGUUUUGUUUUGGUAAAGAGGUGCAGCUGGUUGGUUGAUGAGUUUGAGUUGACUUAAAAUGAAAGGAAGAAGCAAAAUAUCAAAUUAAGUGGGUUAAUCGACUUAAUUUAUCAGUGCUUGAUAAAGAGGAAGAGCCUAUCUGAGUAGAUAUCUAAUGGAGAGAAAAAUAACAUAAAGUUAAAUUCAUUUCAAUGAAAAUUGAAAGAAAAACAAGGUGAAAUAAUGUUAAAUUAAAUUUAACAUCAGAUACAGAACCAUUGAAUAAAGGGUUCAAUUUGUCUCUGUGUUGCAGAGAUCAGCAAAGCUUAAAUAGACUGCCUGGUGCAGUUGGAUGAAUUGGGAAAAAUCAAUGAAAUUGUCAAUUUAAGGAAUUAACUCUGAAGUUAAUUCACAAAUUGCAAUAAAUCCAAAGGUUCGAAUACCAAAUCUAUCUGGAAUGUUAAAAGAAAUUUCAAAUAUUAAUUAAUUUGUUCAUUAAUUAAUUAAUCUUAUGAGGAGGGUUAAUACAUUCAUGUAUUAUAGGGAACAGUAAAACUGCUCAAUGAUGUGAUAAGUAACAACAAGAUCAGGUGAUUGAUUCAAGGAGUUACUUUAUCAAUACAUUAUGUAGGCUCUUAUAACAAAGAUAAGAAUCAAAAAUCAGUGAUCAAUGAUUUAGAAUAAGCACAUCAAACUUCAUCAACCAAGUCAAUCACUUGAAUUAUGUCUGUAGAGUGUUACACACUGACUACAGAGAGGCAGUACAGCUGGCUGAUACUGCAGGCAGAUAAUAGCAGUGUUAGCUCAAUACCAAAAGCAACCAUGUGGGGCAGUAUGGAGUUGGGAGAACUGCACAAGCUCAACACAAGUGGAGAAGAAGAAGAGAAGAGGAAACAGUCAUCCAACUAGCCUCUUGUGGCUGUGAAGUUGGAAAGUAUGCAGGAAGGGGCCUUUAGGCUCUGCCUCCUUGAAGGGCCUUAUCUGCUUAAGGCCAAAAGGUCAGUCUCUCCACUGACAACAAAGGGUUAACAUUUCACAGCAGGCUGCGUCUGCACCCUCAAACAUAGAACUUUACACCAUCUGCUCAGGCAGAUUGGUUCAAUAAAAUCAUUUACAGGAACAAGAAUCAAAGUGACAAAUCCUUAAACAGCAGAUUCAACUGCAGACUUUAAAAUCACAAAUGCGGCGAUUUGUGAUCACGGAUUUUGUCUGAAUUCAUUCAAACAACAACCUCCCACUGUUACAGUGGUUUCCUGUGACAGAUAGCUUAUCUGUCAGGGGAAAGGAGGAAAUCUAAAUCCCAUAUAGUUACUAGAACUUCAUAGCAGACUAUAGAGACAAGAAUCAAAGUGACAAAUCCCUCAACAGCAGAUUCAACUGCAAACUUAAAAAUCACAAAUGCGGCGAUUUGUGAACACAAAUUUUGUCUCAAUUCAAUCAAACAACAACCUCCCACUGUUACAGUGGUUUCCUGUGACAGGUAGUUAAUCUGUCAGGGGAAAGGAGGAAAUCUGAAUCCCAUAUAGUUACUAGAACCUCGUAGCAGACUACAGAGACUUCAGGGGCUUGAAACCACAGCUCGGAGCAUCGCGAACACUGGGUUCAGCCAAAGGCCUUAAAUACAAGCGUACGGCGACGCAACAAUCGUGCACUUAAAUAUUGGACAGUCUAGACAGAGCAGAAGAAGCAGUCUCACUGCUACUCAGAACAACAUUUCACGCUGUCCAGCUCAAACACAGACUACAGGCAUGUAGUACAAGAGUGUGUGAAACACAGAGCAUAAAGGUUUUAUGCAUAGAUCAUGAAAACAUCAGAACUUAGUCAAGCAACUUCAGCAAGCAUAGCAUUGAUUGUGAUUAAGUCUAAAAUAGCCUGGGAAUAAGUUUCUCUCAUCAAUUUGGAAGCUAAGUUUUAGGUUGUCUGUUAGUAUCCAGAAGUUUUGUUUGAAACGCCUCACGCAGGGGCACCAAAAUAUAUGUAGUGAUUUGAAAUGAGCCUCACACGGUCGCACCAAAAUAAUAUGUAGUGAUUUGAAAUGAGCCUCACACGGUCGCAACAAAAUAUAUGUAGCGGUUGAAAUGAGCCUCACAAGGCCGUACCAAAAUAGUACUUGGCGAUUGGAAUUUAUAAUAAAUGUCUGAAGAUUAAUAAUCUCAAAUUAUGACAUUUAUGCACUCGUUGAAAGGGGCACCACCCACCCUUGAUGGUGGGAAAAUAAAGAAAACAAAAGUUUAAUUCAGAAAUCAAACAUCAAGUCAGUUUUAAUUAAUCAGUCUUAAUUAAUCAGUCUUAAUUAAUCAGUCUUAAUUAAUCAGUCUCAUAUCUUAAGUCGAAAUUCUAAUUUCAGGGACUCCACUUCUGGAAGAACACUAACAGACAGGAACUUAGAAAAAUAAUGAUCUGUUUAUUACAGGAUAAAUGAUGGUACAACAAACAUGCAAUAAAUGAUGAUAAGAUAAUGAGGAUAAAAUAAUAAUAGGUGAAUAAAUAAAGAUUCUGAGUCAGGCUAGGAGCACUAAAGUUAAUGAUAGUGAGUGAAUAUGCGCUAACAUAUUGACCUACACUAACUUUGGUGUCGAGAUAAACUCGGGUGUAGAUUUGGAGGAAUCUAAGAUCACCAGAAAUAGGUGGAUAUCUGAGUUAUGAACGCGUGAGACAGCAUCAGCCCUGUCUGGAGCUCUGGAGGUUUGCAUACUUAAGUGAGACUGGUCCUUGGAGAAGAUGGAGCAGGUUCCGAAGGUCCGGGGCUACUGGCGGUUCGAGCGGUUCAGCUCAGAAGACGACUGAAGUCAGCCGAAGGAUGAGCCAGGAGUUGCAGCACUCGGGCCCGAAGCAAAGCCAGCGCCUGUGGAUCCUGUGGAUGCUCGUUUGGGUACUUCUUUGGUCUCACUCAAAAACUCUGGCACAGAGGAUGACCUGGGCCUGCUGGGUUGCGUUCAGAGGUGACUUUGAAAUCACGCAGAAAACUCAGAAAACCGAGGCUCGAAGAGCAGAGAAAACUUUCAAAAAUGGCUUCGCGAAAUUAAAGAAAAAUCAAUCAAAGGCUUAAUCUUGAAUUGCUAUGCGCACAAAAAGUUGAAGUUUCAAACUUGAGCUAAGACGAUGUUAAAGAAAAAUCAACGUGAAUCAACACGUGGCGUAAAACUUAGAAGACUAAGAAAAAGUUCUAAGAGAAAACAAAGAAACGCACCACAGAAGGGUGUGGACAGAAGAGAAGGGGCAUAAGAGCCGGGGACAAGAGAGUCAGCAGAAGAGCAGAAGCAUAAGAGAAAAAAAAACAUAAGAGGAAAGAGAGGAAUAAGAGAGAAUAAGCAAGAGUGAGCAACCCGACUUCACUGGUUUUAUCUUCUCACACGGGGAGUGGCUCCGGCGUGUGUGUGAGGAGACAGAGGAGGGGUCGUGUGGUCUUUGAUUAUUUGAUCUAACUUAUUCUUUUGGCUGGUAAAAGAGUCAGAUCUGAUACUCACUCACUAUGAUUAAUAUCAUUGAAUGUUUGGUUUCAUGAUAAAUAAUUUGAUACUAAACACAUAUGAAUGAAGUGUAGGAUCACAUCAAACAUUCUCAUUAUGUUUUAAGUAUCACAUUGAACAUGCUAAAUUACUCUGAAAUGAAACAGAUAGUAACACAUGGAAACUGUGAACAACAAAAGAGUAAAUUCAUGUGAAUGAACGUCAUCAUGAUUAAUAAUGGAUUCUAAAUACUCACAUUCAGAUUAUUCAAUGACAUUAUAACCACCUAAUGGUUAAAAAUACUAAAUAAACAUCUACAAUAUAAACCAAACAUUUCUAAACUGUUUCUGUUACCUAGAGUUAAGUUAUGAUUCAUAGUCGAUAAAUUUAACUCUUAAAAGUUCAUGAAACAGUCUGAAAAUCUGUUGGUCUAAAGAACUAAAGAAUAAGGAUUUAUUCUGUCAGAUAAGAUAACUUGGCUUCUGAAGCACAUAGAAAAACGGGAAACAUCUCAUUUUAACACAAAUUUCAUGAUUAGACAGAUUAGUACAUUGCUGAAUGCAUAAGAUGUCAUGAUCAGUCAUUUGUAUUCUUUCACCAAAGGAAUGCAGUCUUUAUCAGUGUAUGGUCGAGCAGGGUUUUACGACCGAGGUCUGGAGGUCAGUGUCCCCCCUUAUCCUGGGGUCCGUAUGUUCACACACUUUAAGACACUAAAUCUCAAAUGGGAGAUCUGGGUUGAGACGUUAAUGUUUAUUUAGAUGGUCAGCAAAUGGAGUCAGUUUGAAAGGUAAUAAAACUCUGUCUCUGUUCUCCGAAUUGACCAAUCGUGAAGAGUCAGAGGUUUAGUCAACCUCCUGUUGGGUCACUUAUUUAACCUGAAAGGGCAAACACGUCUGGAAAGAUUUAUAUCCUGUUUCCUGGGACCAGAUAAGGAAGCUUUCCUGUGAGGAAUGUGUGGGUUUCACAUCCAGGGUUGUCUUGAUUGCUACACAGUAAUGCAUUAACCAAAAUGGGAGUCUGCAGAGUCAGCCAGGCUGAGCCAACAGUUGCAGAAGUAAAACAGUCAAAAGGAUAUUUCAGCAGUAUUGAGGUGGGGUUGUAUGAAGGCUAAAGCAGACAGGAUCCUUAUUGCGCGCGUAACAUCAGCGUCGCGAAUCACGCAGCGAAUGGGUUGCCAUUCUAAUCAAUUAAUUAAGAAUCACAUAAAGGUCGCAGGUUAGUCUAUUUUUGCUGCUUUACACUUCCAAUACGCGCCAAUCCACACAGAGAAGAUCGUUAGAGACAAUGAAACACCAUACACAGACUCCCGACUGUAUCAGUUCAUGUAGAUGACAAAUACUUCCUGAUAAAUAUGCAAUGCGCUCAAUAUGGAUCCUGUUUGUGUUACGCUCUGGAGUCAGAUAUUGGUGGAUCACUUUGUGGAAAAUUACUGAGCGGUCUCAAGAGUUGCAGAGAGUAACUGAGUAAUGCAUCAUAGACAUGAUAGGCUAAUUGGUGUGCCGCAUUAAGAAGAGCACAAAUGUGAUGUAUCCACAAAUAGUGUGAAAACUAAUGGGCUUGUUGAUGGUAAUCUGCGAAACAAUUCUCUGUAGAGUGUUCACUUAAAGGAAGACGAGUGUUUGGGUCAGACUCUGAAAGUUAGCCAAAUUCCUCGGUAGGCAGGAAACAGUAACCCAGCUUGCGCGCCGGUUUCCUCAGCAGUUCCUCAUUUCAUCUUUUACACAACAGCUACCAAAAAUGUCAAAACUAAGUACAUUUGUUGUCUUCAUUUGUCAUUGUUGAAUCAACACAAAGAAUAUCUCAGUUUCUCUAACUUUGUUUUCCUGUACUCCUUCGUCUUUCUUACCCCUGAGUUUUCCUUGCAGGUCCUUUCUCCACACACAUCCUCCCCUUCUGCAACAUAUGUGGAUUUCUCAGUUUUGUUUCUCACAGCCAAGAAAACAUAUUUCAGUCAGAUGAAGGAAUCCACACCCCAACACCUAUUCAUUUCCCCUUGGCAAUGACAGUGUUUGUGUGUACACAUCCUUAAGUGUGUGUGUGUGUGUGUGUGUGUGUGUGUGUGUGUGUGUGUGUGUGUGCUCUAAGUAAAAAGCCUGUUUUAACACAUAGGAAGUAGUGAAUAUGGGGGUAUUCUGUGUGUACAGCAGCUCUCAGCAUGGUUACUUCCCUUUUGCACAAACACACACAGUCACAGAGACACAGCAGGGCAUCCAUUGUCUGCUGUGAUUUUUUUUUUUUUUUUUUUGCAUAAGUGAAAAUUAUUUUUUGUUCGUUUGCUUUAAUUACAUGCAUUUUAUAUUUCCCACCAGACCAGACCCAUCAGUUACUCCCAAAGCA
rnacentral:lncRNA from 1 species